rnacentral:lncRNA from 1 species
UCCAUGGAUUCUCAAAGUUUUUUAUUUAGAAUAUAAUUUUUGAGACAAAAAAAAGCGGUUCAUGUUAUUCAGCAAAAUAAAUGUAACAAGUUCAUUUAAAUAAGGUAGAUUCUAGACUCUGUAACUUUUUUUCCCUAGCUACCUGCUUUUCUGCCCCUUGGAAUCUGUCGCUGCUAAACGAGGGUGUUUUCCAAGGUAACGCAGCUGUAAGAGAAGGAACUGUUUUAUAUAUCUAUAUUUCAAAUAUAUAAAAAUUGAAUGACUCAAAUACACCCGUGUUCUCAUCCAACCACCAGAGUGUUAAGUGAAGCGGAGGAAAGAGGCACAGGAAGGUGGACUGAGGUGUCUCCCCUGCCUGCCCGUUCCUUUAACUUCUCAACAGAAGCCAGGCAGCUCUGGAAUGCUCUGAAACGGAUGGUGGUACAUACGGAUUGGAAAGUGGCGGUCAAGGGCAAACAAAAACUGCUCCCACAUCAUCUUUCAUUAAAAUCCAAAGAGAAACGUAAGCCACACCCCUCUCC